rnacentral:rRNA from 1 species
AUUGAACGCUGGCGGCAUGCUUUACACAUGCAAGUCGAACGGUAACAGGUUAAGCUGACGAGUGGCGAACGGGUGAGUAAUGCAUCGGAACGUGCCCGAUCGUGGGGGAUAACGCAGCGAAAGCUGCGCUAAUACCGCAUACGAUCUGAGGAUGAAGGCGGGGGACCGUAAGGCCUCGCGCGAUUGGAGCGGCCGAUGUCAGAUUAGGUAGUUGGUGGGGUAAAGGCUCACCAAGCCAACGAUCUGUAGCUGGUCUGAGAGGACGACCAGCCACACUGGGACUGGGACACGGCCCAGACUCCUACGGGAGGCAGCAGUGGGGAAUUUUGGACAAUGGGCGAAAGCCUGAUCCAGCAAUGCCGCGUGCAGGAAGAAGGCCUUCGGGUUGUAAACUGCUUUUGUACGGAGCGAAAAGGUCUCCUCUAAUACAGGGGGCUCAUGACGGUACCGUAAGAAUAAGCACCGGCUAACUACGUGCCAGCCGCCGCGGUAA